GACGAAUGCUGGCGGCGUGCUUAACACAUGCAAGUCGAACGAUGAACCCGGAGCUUGCUCCGGUGGAUUAGUGGCGAACGGGUGAGUAACACGUGAGUAACCUGCCCUUGACUCUGGGAUAACUGCGGGAAACUGUAGCUAAUACCGGAUACGACCCUCGGCGGCAUCGCCAGGGGGUGGAAGGAAUUUCGGUCAAGGAUGGACUCGCGGCCUAUCAGCUAGUUGGUGAGGUAACGGCUCACCAAGGCGACGACGGGUAGCCGGCCGGAGAGGGUGACGGGCCACAGUGGGAGUGAGACACGGCCCAGGCUCCGACGGGAGGCAGCAGGGGGGAAUAUUGCACAAUGGGCGCAAGCCUGAUGCAGCAACGCCGCGUGAGGGAUGACGGCCUUCGGGUUGUAAACCUCUUUUAGCAGGGAAGAAGCUAAAGUGACGGUACCUGCAGAAAAAGCACCGGCUAACUACGUGCCAGCCGCCGCCGUAA
rnacentral:rRNA from 1 species